rnacentral:snRNA from 1 species
GUACUUGCUUCGGCAGUACAUAUACUAAAAUUGGAACGAUACAGAGAAGAUAAGCAUGGCCCCUACGCAAAGAUGACAUGCAAAAUCUUGAGGGGUUCCACAUUUUU